rnacentral:rRNA from 1 species
GUGGGGAAUAUUGGACAAUGGGGGAAACCCUGAUCCAGCAAUGCCGCGUGAGUGAAGAAGGCCUUAGGGUUGUAAAGCUCUUUCGCCCGUGACGAUGAUGACGGUAACGGGAGAAGAAGCCCCGGCUAAUUCCGUGCCAGCAGCCGCGGUAAUACGGAAGGGGCUAGCGUUGUUCGGAUUUACUGGGCGUAAAGCGCAUGUAGGCGGCGGAUCAAGUGGGGCGUGAAAGGCCUGGGCUCAACCUGGGAACUGCGCUUCAGACUGGUUCGCUCGAGUUCGGGAGAGGGUGGUGGAAUUCCCAGUGUAGAGGUGAAAUUCGUAGAUAUUGGGAGGAACACCGGUGGCGAAGGCGGCCACCUGGCCCGAGACUGACGCUCAAGUGCGAAAGCGUGGGGAGCAAACAGGAUUAGAUACCCCAGUAGUCC